rnacentral:tmRNA from 1 species
GGGGGUGAAAUGGUUUCGACAGGGAAUCAGUGUGGUAGAGAGGCACGUCGGAGAUGCUAUCUUCUCCGUUAUCAAGUAGCAAAAUGCAAAUUAACUGCAAACGAUAACUUACUCUUAGCUGCCUAAGUGCAGCUAACGUUCAACCCUUCCGUGCCAUCGGGAAGGGCUUGGGCGUCGCGACAGUAUGGCUGCUCGCGUUUUGACUGCUAAUAUUAACGCGCUAAGACUAUUGGCUUGGCUCUUACGGGUCUGAUUGUCUUUUACCGUAAGCGCCGAAAUUAAAGACAACUAAGCGUGUAGAAUUUCUAUGGUGCUGUUCUUUGGACGCGGGUUCGAUCCCCGCCACCUCCACCA